rnacentral:rRNA from 1 species
GACGAACGCUGGCGGCGUGCUUAACACAUGCAAGUCGAACGAGACGAUUGAAAGCUUGCUUUUAAAAGUCGAGUAGCAAACGGGUGAGUAACGCGUAGACAACCUGCCUUUGAGAUGGGGACAACAGUUCGAAAGGACUGCUAAUACCGAAUGUUGUAUAUUUUCCACAUGGAAGAUAUAUUAAAGAUGGCCUCAAUUUAUAAGCUAUCGCUCAAAGAUGGGUCUGCGUCUGAUUAGCUGGUUGGUGGGGUAACGGCCUACCAAGGCUACGAUCAGUAGCCGGUCUGAGAGGAUGAACGGCCACAUUGGGACUGAGACACGGCCCAGACUCCUACGGGAGGCAGCAGUGGGGAAUCUUCCACAAUGGACGAAAGUCUGAUGGAGCAACGCCGCGUGAGUGAAGAAGGGUUUCGGCUCGUAAAGCUCUGUUGUCGGGGACGAAUGUGCAGUAUUUGAAUAAAGUACUGCAAUGACGGUACCUGACGAGGAAGCCACGGCUAACUACGUGCCAGCCGCCGCAGUAA